GUUCAAUGUGGGAUAACUUAGCGCAGUAUUUAAAUAUGCCAGGUCUUUUUUUUUUUUUUUUUAAAUCUUUUGUUUGAUUUGCUAUGUUGGAGUACUAAAACCAAGAGUAGAAUCCAAUGCUUGCAACUCACUUCUUGGAGAGAAAUAAAACGCACAGGCUGAACUUCAUGAACUAAUUAAACUAUCCUACAAACUUCUAUCCCCUUGCAGCUACAGACAAUAGUCUUAUUUGAGGAAACACAAUCAUGUACUUCAUCAGAUAUCACUUUCGCCAAUAUUAUUUAGGUUUUCAUGACUGCAAGGCAAACACCGCUUUAAAGGUUGUUUCUGUUUCUCACAUUUCAGUCUUUUUUUAACAAGUACAAAAAAGUUAGUUUCCUCCAUCAAAUGACUCGUUAUUGGAAAAGCAAAGUAGCAUUUCAUUACUCGAAGCUCUUCUUCCAGCAAAACUGUGGUACGUGGAAAAUGUUUUACAACUUUCAGAGUUUAUUUGAUUUUGAACACUUUUGGUUAUGUAAGUUUUAAUAAGUAGCUUUAGUGUACCCCUAAAGGCACACCCCACACACUUAUGUUGUGUGACCUAGGGUCACAAGUAAUGGCUGCAAGCUAAUUGAUUGAGAAAGGCUUGUCUGACUGGGCCCCUUUGAGUCCUCCCUUUACAUUCCUAAAUUUCUGUAAAGAAGGCACUGGCAGCUUUGCCUGUCGAGAGGAGGGGUUGGGGGAAAGGGAGGAAGUUUCUCAGUUUCUGAUUAUGCGCAGAGUUUCCUUGUACCGAGCUUAUGUUCUCCACCCACUACUUAGUAAGAGCUCCUUAACAACUUAAAGCUUUAUCCCUCUGAGUACCAGAAAAGUGAUUUGAGUAGUUAUUGAGCAGGGAGAAUAAACUGCUUGCUCCGGGCAGGGAGAAAGCUUAUGGAAAUGAUAUUAGACCUUCAGCAAAGUGCACAGCUGCAUCAUACAGAAGCCGAGACUCAAAUUGACAGGCAAAUAAGCCAGAUCACGGAAGGGGCCUCUGUGUGGCAGCUCUGAGCUCCCAAGUGUUGGACAACUAGGCAAAAAGUGCACUGGAACAGGGCAGAAAAUAGCACACUAACUUCAGGCAACUGUUGCAUUUUCAUGGCCUGGAAAGUGACGUUUUCUGUAGAUGUCAACUUCUGUCUGGUGUGAUGCUCUGUUCUUCUGGUGAUGUCACAUGCAGCACUGAGUAAUAUUGGUAAAUGGAAGAGGUCUCUUAGAAUAAGGUGUCUGCCUACCAGUCAGUUUUGCAGCGGGAUCAUUUGUAUCGCUUCACUAACUGCUGGGUGUCUAUGGGAGGCACAUGAGGCUUCCACUGCAGCGCCUGUGAACUCUCACAACUCUAGAAAAGGACAACAAGGGAGAUGUUGGAGAGUGGUACAGGCAGUGAAAUGUGGGUCAAUACUUGAUGGUGGUUCUAAGAAAGGACAAGAAAGGCCAAGAGAAGCCAAUUUUGGGAGCAUGCUCAUUGUGAUACCCUCAGUGAUUACUGUUUCAAUACAUACUCGUCAGGGCUGAGAUUGUAACUGAUCAGUGAAAGAAAAAAAUUCAAAAGAAAAAGGAAACUGAAGAAGUUAAUUGUACCAGAGCAGAAUCCAGCGAAGCUGAACGGCUUCCCGAAGAGCACUGAGUUUUCUAUACCAGAUUCUGCUCCAGUGGCUAGGACCUUUAUGGCUGCUGUUUCUUUUGCUCUGGGCUCUGAUGGAAGAAAAAAAAAAAAAAAGCCACCGUGGAUCCCGUCCCUAAAGUAGAAAUUUUCUUUUUCCUUCUGCAAACAAGGCUAAAGAUCGGAGGAGAAUGAAUACGAAAGUAAUUUGGGAUCGUGGUUGUGCCAUUAAAAGUGUUCGGCUUCAGAAAGAAAUUGUUUGGGAAAUCCAAUUAUUUCUUCUCACUGUAUCGACAGUAUUUGAAAGUUGUGUGUUCUUUGAGUAAUCUGGUGCAAGUGACAACAAUCUCCGCAUGCCAGUAUUUUCUACAGUUUAUGGAGCGAAAGCUCGCUUUGACAUUGAAAGGAAGAAGCUUUUGCUAGCAGUCUGUAGAAGGAUUAAAUGUUGAACGUGGGGAAGAGGCAAAAAGUGAAUACACGCCCAGAGGUUAUCCUUGCAUCGAGAAGGGCUCUAAAGUACUCUGUAACCUAGGGCCCACCUGAACAGGAGGACUGAAAGUAUAAAGGGGAAAUAUUGCAAUUAGAAACCCCUUCACAUGCAUUUAAUCCUUCUUUAAGGCAUGAAAGGAAAUAGAAUCAAAUCGUUACUGUACGAAUCUGCUGGAAGAAGCAGGUUUUAACCCAUUUUUAGACGCUUCCUUCCGAUGCAUUGUAAUAUGGCUACUUGUGAGUCAAGGCAGUGAAGAUUUUUGCUGUGCUCUUUUCUUUUUGCUUUCAAAAGUUAAGGACUGUAAGAAAAGUCUGUUCAGUCAGCUGAUACAUUGUCUUGAAUGUAUGUAUGUGUCUUGCCUGCUUAUUUGAUCUUUUCUGCCCCCUACGUGAAAGUGCCUUGUGUUUAUUUGGGUGGGAGGAGGGGUUGCUGAUUGGGGUGGGGUGGUGGGGGGUGGUUGCUUUUUGUUUUGGUUUUGGUUUGGUGUUGUUGUGUGUUGUUUUUGUUUGGUUGGGUUUUUUUUGUUUUGUUUUGUUUUUUUAAUAAUAGCAGUGAAAGUUUUGCUGACAGCAAUUAUGACUACUAAGCAAUUCAGAUUAUUGGAAGACGAAUUCUACUGGAUCAUAUCAGACUUUUCCUAGUCCCUGAGACCCUAACUUGUGAGGUUUUGUAGCAACAAUCACAAGUCAGGCUCUUGGGACCUAGGCGGAGGGGAACCAGCAGCUUUGGACUAUGAUUGUUUCUCUGCAGAAUUUAGAGAGCCAAAGGAGCUUUCCCUGUCUGGAAGGGAAAAAGGAAAAUAGACCUUUGUUAAUAUAUUGGAAAAUAUUCCAAAUGUUAAGCAGCAGACCUGUUCCUAAAAGAAAAAAAAGCUGUUAUCCUUUGUGCAGCUUUAGCAUGCUACCUGUUUGUGUUUAGAAAACUGGACUGGAUGCAAUGUAACAUUUACUAUUAAAAUUUAAACUGAAUGCCAGUUCAUACCUCAAAAAAGAACCAAAAGAACAACAACAAAAAAUCAAAAACAGACAAACAAACAAAGAAAAAAAAAACCUACCAACCCACCAGGUACUAAAAUAUACCAAAGGUUUUCAACCAUAACAUAACAUUAUCAUUACAGACAUUUCUGGUAGAUGAUUAUCACAAAGUGUAUUUUCAGCUGUAUUGCUACAGCAUUUAACUAACUUUUAAAACAUAAAGCACGAAUGCUGAUGUUUGAGGCCUAGAAAGCAUUCAUUCUUUUGAUGGUUAAGUAAUGAUUUCAGUCUACAGGAAAACUGUUGCUUAGCUUUUCCUGUAAUACGGGACAAAGACUGUUUUAUAGUAGUUACCAUUAUUUUUCUUUGUCUAAGUGAGGACACGAUAUCACAUUUAAAAAUAUUGUCUCAGUUUAAAUUUUAAUCUGAUCGAGAACAUUGGUGUAAAAAUCAUACUACAGCAUUAAUAUCACUUCACUCACAGUCACAUUCUGUGUACCUGUUAAAUUUCAAUGGAGUCGGCAGUACUCUGAGAAUAGGACUCAGCCUCAACCUUCUUUGUCACUUUUUGCAUUUUUCCUCCCACUGGCAACAGCAUACUGUGUUUUAGGUUGUCCCCAAUAUGCUAAGUACUUCACUGACUUUGCAUAGGAAGAUUUACAGGGGCAUGAGUCGUUCUGUGCCAUUCAUUGCUCUUAAACUUCUGAUCUGUCGUGCAUAGUUUGAUUUGUUUUUCUUAACAGUUUAUAGGUGGGUUAGUUCUAAUUCAUUUUUCUCUUGUUUCCUGUGUCUAAACCAAGAUGCUGCAGGACCUUGUUGAUGCAUCAGACUUCACUGAGACAAAGGCUUCAUACAGAUCAGGCAUCCAAACUAUUUGUUCAUUUCAGAAGUGGUAUUUUUGCUGCAGUGUUUUUUUUCCACUUGUGUGGGAGGAAUUGUGUUUUAUUGUAAGCAUCAAUACUUUUGUUAAAAUAAAUUGCUCUUAUCUCUUAGAGUAAUACUUUUUCUUGUUGUCUUGUUUUAUUAAGAGGCAGAAACUAUGCGCUGUACGUAGCUUUCAAGUUGCUCAAGGUAUAAUUAGUGCUUAAAUAGUCAUAAAAAUAGUCUUACCAAUUACAAUGAUGAUACAGUUUCUGUAAAGAUGCUGUUCUUUCCACCAUAAACUGUCAAUCGCACAUACUCAGAACACUCAAAAGAGCUACUUGCAAACAUUCAGUCAUGGAGGUAAUUUCUUUUUAUGCAGAUGUGUUAUUGAACACCACUGACUUCUAUUCAGACGAUGUUAGAAAAAUAGAUCUGAAUUUGUAUGUGAAAAACUAAUUCACUCAGAUAGGUGCUACGCCAAGAAAGCAGUUUGGUAGCAGCUGAUAUGUAUUAUGUGUAAUACUCAUAGUCCUGAAAAGGGUGUAUUUAAGGCACUGCUCAGGUGAAUGCACUCUGAUCAUUCAAGUUACAUAAUGAGAUAAAACCAUAUUGCGCGUAGGUAUAUGCAUAUUGGUAUACAGUUUAAAUUAUGCACAGAAUUUGUCAAAAUAAAAAACCUAAUAUAUUUAAUCAGAUAUACGAUGUGCACGUCUGUAGAUAUGAAAGACUGUGGAUUGCAUUUAUUUUUGAGUCAGCAAAAUUUACCUGAAUGUGCAUAGUUCAUAUUAGGUAUUUAUUUUGGUUUAAUACUGUAUUGUAUAAUGCAUGUGAAACUAUAGUAUGAAAUGUCCAUCUCUAACAGUGUGAAGAUUUCUAGUACUUUUUUCUCUGCAGUGAGAGUGAAAAUGAAAUUAACCAUGAGAAACUCCUACCUGUCUUAUUUGGUGCUACAGCAAAAGCUGUGAAUACACAGUACUGCCUCUGCAUCACUGCUUGAACUGGGAUAGCUCUGGUGCCUCCUCUCUGCCCAUAGUACUCGCUGCUGCCCCUUGCCAUAGAGAUGAAGAAGCUGGUGCACUGUCUUCCUUUUUACCUCCUUCCUCUUUUUCCCCCGUUUCAACACAGCAAAACCAACCUCUACUGCACAUUAAACUCCUUGUGAUGGGGCAGAGGUAGAUGGAGGGAAGGAAGAAACCAAGCCUUUGCUCGGGUAGAAUUGCCACCAUGAUCAACACAUUUCCCCAGCCCGGGACUAUGCGACAGUGCCUGCAGACACCUCACAAAAAGCAGUCUUAUUUACACUUUGUCAUUGUAUGAAAGCUGUAUAUGUUAGUGAAAAUAAAUGGAAACAUCACUGGUAGACUACGCAUAGCUAUAUAUGCAGAAUUUCAAUAUACUUCUAUUUCUAUAUGACUUUUUGCUCUUCCAAUACAAAAUGCUUCUAAAUGCUACUUAAUACGUGAUUUCAGAGUAAUCAGCUUGUGCUACAACAAAAACAAAAAAACAAAACACAAGCUCUUGCAAAGGGGAGAGAGAGCGAGGGAGAGGGAGAGAGAGAGAGAGAGAGAGAGAGAGAGUGAAAAUGAUGUGUGGUGCAUACAAAAAAGGAAUGAUAUUAACAAUUCGAUGAAUUCCUAGUUGGUAGACCAGACUGAGCCAGACGCAUAUAUUAACGGCUGUCUGCUGCUGAUGUGAGCCUGCUCAAUGCGGUGGAAAUGAAGGAUCACCUAGUCUCUGACACCAGCUUAUUUGUACGUUUUAAUUUUAAAAAGGAAAAUCACUGUUUUACAUAAACAUCUUAACCCCUGCAUGAUUUUCUUUCUUUUUUCCUCCCUCAUAUUGUUUGCUAAUUUACUGUCAACUUAAAGUGCUGUUUAGCUACAGCCCAACAAAACAUCAGUCAAAAAAGAGAAGGAAGUAUUAGCUUCUCUUUUGUCUGCCAUGUACAACUGGUUUAUUAUUAUGAUAAUUGUCUACUUUAAUUUUUAGUCUUCAAGAGAGAUGCAACAAUUUUCCAGAAUUUCAUUUCUGAAGUGUUUUAAGUUUCAACAAGAUACUAUUCAUUUUAAAUCUAAGCCAGAAAAAUCCUUUACAGCUCAGGCUAAGGUGAUUCGAUCAAUACUUUUUUUUAACCCAAAGAUCUUUAGUGCCUUAAUAAAAUGUUAUGUUUAUGGAACAGAAUUUCUAUUCAAACCAUUUAAACACUAGGAUCCAUUAAUAUAAUGUUGAAGACUGUUACAUGAGUCGGGGGAAUUCCAAUCCAAGUUAAUUACUGCUGGAAUUAGAGGAGCAAAUAUUUUACUCAAAGUUGUACAACAAGAGUCUACAAUUAUCACAUUUCAGAGCAUUGCUCUACACACUUGAUGAAAAAUGUCAAUGAAAUUUAACAUAAGAUGUUACACAUUUCCAUGGGUAAUGAAAAUCGGCACAUUCACUAUUAGCUAACAAAGCAUUUUCGGUGCGUUAAUAUGCACUGCAGCAAAAAUUUCUGUAGGCAGCAAAUGUAGCCAUCAUUUUGAUUUGCCCAUAGGAUGAUUAUACUCAAUUCCUGACUGGAUAGUUAAUUUCACACUGAAAUGCAGCCAUCUCUGCACAGAAACUGUCUGUAGUGCACAAAAGAAAAAGAAGAAGAAAAAGAAAAAGAAAAAAAGGAAAAAUAAAAAAGGAAAAAGAAGAUCCACCAUCUAGGCUAGCUAGGUAGUCAUGCAGAGAUGUGUAUCAGAAAAAAUAUCUGGAACCCUAUAAAAAUGCCAGCUGAAGCUGUAUCACUCACAAAAUAGUUUUUUUUUUGUUUGUUUGUUUGUUUUUGUCCCAUGUAUAUAAAAUGUUCAUCACCUCAUUUUUCUUUCCCUGAUACUUAAAAUAGUUCGUCUUCAGAGUUUGUUGAGUGCUGCAUUAUUCCACCCUCCAGCACCACCAGAGUUAUUCAGAGUUAUUCUUACCCAAUGAGUUAUAUUCUUACCGGCACCUAACUGUAUUAAUUUUUGUGCUAAGCUAUGUUUUGCUUACAGUGCCUGAGUAACAACAGGUGGAUGGACUAUGGAAUCCCAUGAGAGUAAGUGAACAUAAGAUUGUUAAGAUCAGCAAUGCUAAAAUGAUUUUAUCUGUAUAAACAUUUUUAAUCUAAUAAGUAGGAUUUAAAAUAAAUCAGAGAAUCAUCCAGUUGAUUACACAAUAAAGUUUAUCUGGUUGGCUUUUGGGAUUGCUAUCAUUACUCCCAUUCUUGCUAAUUUAGGAAUUAAGGAUUACUUAGUAAUUGCAUGGUAAACUAGAUACAGUAAACGAUCAUUUGAAUAAUACAAGUAUCCUACAGGGGAAAAGGCAGAUAAUAUUCUAUACUUUUCUUCUACUUGUGAGUUGUUACAAGCGGGUUCUGAUUUUCUGCUAGGGACACAUAUUUAUUUAAGUGGCCAUGCAAUCCAAUAAGAUUGUGCUGUGCGGUUUAAGGCUGGUAAUUUGGGCUAUGGUUUUUGGGAGGUUUUCUUGCACCACCCCCACCCCCAGCCUCUUUUCUUGGAUGUGUGCGUGUUGUGCAUGGGAAGGUAUGAAGGAAAAACAGCUAUUCAGCAGAGACAUGUUCCACCCCUUUAAUUAAGCUUUUCCUGGACUGUAAAAACACUGGCAAUGUGUAAAUCUCAUUAGGUGGGUUUUUGUUGUUGUUGUUUAUUUGUUUGUUUUUUAUUGUUGUUUUUUUUUUUUGCAUAUAUUUAUUUUAACAGAAUCCAAAGUAUUAUAUUAAGAAACCUCAGUGAUGAAAUACAAAUGAAAAUAGUUCCACUAGUAAGUCACUGGGUCCUGAAAGGGUUGGCUAGCAUCGGCACAGAGCCAACUGGAAGAUUUUUUUUUUUUUUUUUCAUUUAAUUCCUUUCACCUAGUAGGCUCCUUAAGCAUUAGGCAGAACCCAGUAUGUGGCUAAGUUAUUGCUCUACUGUUCAUCACACAAAAAGCACAGUCUUAGCAUUUGUAGAUUUUCUUCUGGGAGGUUUCUAAUCUAGACAGCAUUUGCGUUUGGGGAUUACACCACAGUCUGUUCCCCACCACCUCCCCCUCUAACAUGUAGCCCUUUCAACUUCUUCAAAGAAGUGGCGAAAAGUAGGUUCUUUUCUUAAUAGCAGAAAACAAACCGACUGCUGGACUUCCGUGGCAGAGCUCACAUAAUGCGCCAGGGUGGGAACUGUAACAAAGAAUGCUUGAAUGCACUAAACGUAUAGUGAAACCCCAUUUACAUUCACUGAUGGAGCUUAAAGUACAAUAAAUGAGAAGUUUAAAGUAGAAAUAAGCAGGACCAUGAAAAGAGUUCAGUGAAGGUAGAUACUUCUUGAAAAGUUUAGCACAGGAUUUAAUUUCCAGCUCAAGCCUUUCCUAGCAGAAUGCAUUUCUUCAUAAUGCAUCCCUUUACGCAAAGCAUCUCCAUCAGAUGAAGGUAAAUCAGAUGAAGAGAGUAUCUUCAAUGCAUAAAUAAGUAAAUUCUUUUUAUCUGAUUUAUAUACUGAUUUUCACACAAGUGAGACAGUUAGCAGUGGAACAGUCUUCAUGGUUCGCUGUCUAUUCUGCACUCUCUCUCUACAAAAUGCUUUUGAUGUGAAGGAAACAACUUUGUGCAUAGAAAUAAGUUUGACUGUGGGAUCCUCCUGUGAUUUCUAGGUCUCUCUCCUUCUAAAUUUUAUGUGUACACGGUAGAAUUGGAUGAGCUAAUUGUUUUUUCUGCCAGUGGUUAUUCUGUCAGAUAGAACUGCAAUAUUCCUAGUUACAGGCCAUUACACUGGGCAGCUGCCCCCUCUCACCUUCUAUCCUCCGUGGUGACCAUCUCUUUGUUUUAGCCCCUCUAUGACUGCAGUGUAAGGCCCUUCAGGAUGCCAGCUCCAUUCUUCCAGGAGUUUGAAUCAGCCAGGCUUCCACUUCUUGUCAUUAUGUGUCUCUGUGGUAGUUCUUCACCUUGAAAAUUAAACGCAUUUAAAUUGGCCCUAACUGUAAGUUUCUACAGAAUCUGUAUCCCCUCCCUCAGGUCUCUUACAAAACAAAUAGUUGUCAGGGAUGAUAUAUUUGGUUAAUAGUUACUGUCCUCCGCAUAAACUUCUUGAUCAUUGUCUUCCCAAGAAUGGCAGGAUAGCUCCAGUAUCUAUGUGGCUGAACAGAGGAUGAUUUGUAAAACACUAGUUUAAUAGUAGUAAUAUCGGGGUGCAGGGGAUGUGGAAUAACUUUCUGCACCUAUCUCCAGUACAGGUGGCUUCUGCUUGUGAUGUGAAUAAGUAUUUGCCAUGGAACAAUUAUUUGCCACUAGCAUUCAGCUGAGUUAACAUUUCCAGAAAUUUUGGUGAUCCUGCAAAGAGUCCUGCUCCGCUCUGGGCAGAGAGCAGGCACACAGCCCUCUGCUCUACAAAUCCUCUAUGUGGGCUGCCCGUGCUGGCCACAGACCCUCAGCCCACGGGGAGCCAGGCAGCGGUUUGCCCUCUGUGUCCAUGCAGGCCCAGAGUGGCGCUGGCCUCAGCAGUGAUCCAGCCUGCCCUGCAAAAUGGCCGGGGCAGCCAUUUUGUGGUUGGAUUUACAGCUUUUCCCUGCGGGUGGAGGGUUCAUCUCUCUGUUAGGAAAAUUUCUCACAAGGCUGAAGAUUCACAGUGCUUACAGCUUCUGCUAAUGUAUUUAUAUACACACUGGAGUAUUCAGUAACUUAGACUGACUGUUACUUCAUAGAUAAACCUGGGAGACACUGCUCCUCUCGUGUUUAUAAUGUCAGCAUAUUAUUUUGGAUAUUAAUUCUUUCAAGUGUGCCUCAUACUGAAAUAGAGGAAUAUGGUCGAGAUAUUACUGCUUUAGGAGUCAUUGAGGCAUCUGAUUCUAAAAAAAAAAAAAAAAGGACAAAUGUUUAAAGGCAAAACUGGUUACCAAUGUGGCACUGGAAAUCUCUCGCACUGACUCAUAGGGUGAGGGUUCUUGUGGGUGUUGCUGGUAUCUUGGUAUUGCACUUCGGUAGAUUUUUAUGAGUUAAUAAAUUCCGAAGACUGCAGUUUGGCUUUCUAAAAUUUGGUAAUCAUUCCUUAAAUGCUAGUGGGAAAUCAAAAUUACUACAUGCAAUAACUAAAACUUUUUUAAAACCCUUCAAAUGUUUCCAAACUGCUGCCUACGUGCUCUUCUUCCCUACACCAAUGGCCAAAAAUUCCGAGUCACUUUCUGGCACCCAGCAAGAACGCAGACAAUUCUCUUGAGCUCCAUUUCAGAGAGUGAACCUUUCCUUUCCUUCCCCGAAACACCUCCUGUGCAAACCCGAGGCCAUUUUGCAUGGGAGUUGCUGCAAACUGAGAGCACAACAGUGGGCACAGUGGGACCUGGACUUUCAUUAGAGUUCUGAGGCUGCAGUAUAGUGCAAAUCACAAUAGAGAAGCAGUCAGUGGUCAGUGUGCUAUUUUAUUCUUUGGGUGUUUGCACUAACUGUGCCUGAGAAGACAGGGGUGCACAUUUUAACAAAUUAUGAGAUCUCAUAUCCCAGUAUUCAUUUAGGUUUCAUUGAGACUUCAACUUUGUUUGGCAUCCACAUUUACUUAUUUUGCUGAUUAAUAUUUUUAAAAUGCCCUAAUGAUUUUCUGCAAUAGCUAGUAACAAAAUAAAUGUAUUAGCUCUUCACCAAGAUCAGAUUUUUUUCUAAAAUGUAGCUUUAGGUGUGCCCCCACUCUGUAUGAUUUGGCUAUAGCCAAAAAAGUCAUUGAUCUGACAAUCCAUCUGGGAUUAUGCAGUGGCAGCAGACUUUAACAUCUGCCUGUGUCUUUUUAGUGGACUUGCAGACUCUCCUGCUAUGUGGCAGAACUUGUGCCUGAAUGCCAUCCUGCGCUCUAUCCCAUCUACAGUUUACUCUUGUAUAAAACAUGGUACUGCACAAGGCUUACACGUUACAUUCACUAUGCAAAGAAGACAGCCAGACAGCUCCUAUUUCUUUCCUUCCCUCUUUUUUAUUUUUUAACCUUAUCUCCUCCAUUGCAUCUCCCACACAUAGUAGAAAUAUCGUAUGUCUGCUGCCAAGGCAAACUCGAUCAUCUAGUCUGACUUCCUCCAUAAAACAUGCACAACCAAAAUUCACCAAGCAACUCCCACAUCAAUGCCAGCAAUUUCUGUUUGGCUUGCAUGUAUAUUUUAGGAUUCAGAAUGACAAAGAAUCCAUAACCUCCUGAGGAAUAAUGUCCCAUUAGUCAAUUACUUCACUAUUAAAAAAUUAUGCUAUAGUUCUAAUUGGAAUUUGCUUAGCAUCUGCUUCCAGCUACUGAAUUUUUUCUUGAUAAUUUAAAUGGUCACUUGCUUUCAGUCAUUUCUUAGCUUUUUCAAUGCUAAACUAAUGAGAUUGUCUUCAGUUCCUUACUGGAAGAUAUUGUUGCUAACUCUUUAUUUUUUCUUUUUUUUGUAAACUCUUCUCAAUUUAUCAGCUUCCUCUGCAAAUACUAGUAGCAGGACCAGACACCCAGUGUCAGGAAUUCAGGAGUGGUAUAAUUAGAUGUGCUAGUAAUUCCUCUUUCUUUUAGCUGAUUUUCUUACUCAUAUAUCAUAUUUUCUCUUUCAUUCCACUAUACUGAGACUACAACUGCAGCUGAAGAUGAUGAGAGAAGUAGAUUUGAAAAAGGCUUGUCUGAGCUACUUGAAGGUACAUAAUUCCAGUCAAAAUUAGUAGGAGUUUAGCAUCUUAACUAUUGGUACUUCCAUUACAUUUAUGCAAGCUGAUUUUCAUGCCAAGGAGAGAACUAACAGAAUUAGCUUAGCAGUGUUUGACCAAAUAAUAGCCAAGUAACUUUUAACUUCCAGUAUUUUAUUUAUUGAAUAAAUUGUGUUUAAUUUCAAAAGGAAAUUAGAACAGGUGUACUAUUCUUGCUAUUUGAAAACUUCCUUGGUUUAAGUAUUUUCUUUCUUCUAGUAUACUUUAGUUACAGAAAUAGAUCGUACAGAUGGAUUAAAACAUAUCCAUGUGCUGAAAGCAGGCAAUUGGUCUUACAUUUUACAGAUAUUCAUCCAAAUAGCUAAGAUACAGUUAGCUAGAGGAUUAUUUUUAAUGUGUUUCUCCCAAGUUCUGUAGCCUACUCCCUUUACAAUGCUUAUUUGCCUGAUCUCAGUAAAUCUUCAAGCCUAUAUGCUUUAUCAUUUCUCUAUCAAGGAUUUAGGGAGGAGAAGUGUGUGGAGGCUGAUCCUAAGAUAAGCAACGCGAGUUGGUUAAGAAAAGAGAUGGCUGUCAUCUGUAGCCUUUCCAGACACAGCAGUACAGUCCCAGACAGUCACCUGAGUAUUAUCGCUUUGUCUCUACUAUAAAUCACAGUCUGGUAAUGGCUAAGGCUGACACCUUGACAUUUUCAAGAAAAGUAAAAGACCUGAUUUGAAUGGAAAUCAAUUUCAUUUCACAAAUCUUGGGAUACUACUUCAAACCUUGUCUUGUUCUUUAUUUUGUGUGUGUCUUUUUCAGAAUUUCCGUGAUCUUGAUAAAGGAUUAGUUGUGUUUUACAGUUACUUUAAUUUCCAGCAUACAGCUUAAUACUACUGAAAUAUGUGUGCAUAAGCAGUGCAUCAUAGGACCAGGUUCCAUGUAGGCGUGGGAAAGUAACUUGCUUUUCUGACAGCCUGUUGAAGGUGAUGGGCACAGCUCCUUUGGAUGACGGUGCAACCUGAAAUAUCUUACCCUUAUACCGCCUCCUACCUCCAGUAGGUAGCCUACAUUCGACGGAUGAAAGGAAUGUCUCAGAGCAUGUCGCAACAAGCUGAACAUGAGACAGCAGUGUGCCCUGGCAGCCCAAAAGGCCAACCAUACCCGGAGUGUAUCAGUGCUGGGAGAGGGAAGGGGUUGUCCUGCUCUGUUCUGCACUGUGUGGCCUCACACUGAGCACUGCAUGCACCUUUUGGCACUGCAGUAUUAGGACAUAAGACUACAAGAAAGUAUCCAAAGAAGGAUAGCAAAGGUGGUGAAGGGUCUGGGGGCAAAGACAUGUGAGGACAGGCUGAGGUCCCUUGGCUGGCUCAGCGCAGAGCAGAGGAGCUGAGCUGAGGCCUCAUGGCAGCUGCAGCUCCUCACAGGGAGUGGAUGGGCAGUACUGAGCUCUGCUCUCCAUGACAGCGACAGGGGCUGAGGGAAUGGCAUGGAGCUGAGUUAGGGGAGGGGCAGGUUGGGGUAGGAAAAGAUUCUUCACUAGGGGGUGGUUGGGCCCUGGAAUGGGCUCCAAAGAGCAAUGGCCAAUGCACCGAGCCCUUCACUUUCCCUUCCUUUUUUCCUUCCCCUUCUCCUUUCCCUUCCCCUUCCCCUUCCCCUUCCCCUUUCCCUUCUCCUUUCUCCUUCUUCAUAAAUCUGUAGGAACACACUGUUAUGACAGAAUAUCUGCAGUCAACAAGGAAGGGGAAUAAGCAUUGCAACUGUAACAAUCCCAGUACUGUUUCACUAAGAAAUACAAGUAAAUAUUAUCCAAAACCUGCCUCCUGUGAAAUGUCUGAUACAAAGCACAACAGGUCUUACAGAGGAAGGCUGUUUUUAGGAGCAACUCCCUUGUGUCCUGGGUAGGUAUUGCGCAGUCACUGUCCCGACUGAAGGCUUUGAGUUAGGAGCAGACCUUAAGUGCCUGAAGAUCCAGUAAUGACCCUGAAAUUGUCUUUCCAAUUGUUGCACAAAGAGAUACCACGCUUUGCAAAAUUUCUGUUUUCUCAUUCAGCGAAACAAAACCAUCUGGAGGACACUUUGGUAAUAAAAAAGGGGGGGAGGGGAUGGAGAAGGUGGCAAGAUGUAAUGCACGUAUGAUAAACUAAGCCAAAUUAGCAAGCUGUGCCCAGAUUUGCUAACAGAUUCAAUCCUGUGUGAAGUUGAAAAAGGAGAAUAUCCUUAGCAUACAAAGGUGGUCGUAUCAUACUUAAGCCCCUCAAACAGGAUAGCAGGAAACAUGUAGCUGUGUCUAUAGUCUAUAGCUGUGUCUAACAGGUAUGAAAUCAAAGGUAAGGAUUCUUCACUUCUUUUGUCUUUCUUGCCUACUGUACAAUAGUACUGAAAAUCUGAUAAGAACCUUAUUAAACCCAUGCAUGCAUAACACAGACCUAGUGAAUCAAAUGACUUUCAAAGGCCAUAGGUAUGUGAUGUCUAGACACUGCCCAUUGGCUUUAUCUCAGCAUAUCUUAAGAAGCAGCAAAACAGAGGGUACUGGUGUGGAAAGAAACAUUAACAAUCUAGCAAAUUGCUAGCAUCUUAGCCCAGAAUCUUUUCACUGACAAUAGCCACCAGCACAUUCCCGGGUAAAAGGAUAAGAUCGGGACAGGUAUAGUGAUACUGCUCUGUUGUGUUUUCCUGUCCCCUGCAGACUGUAAUCCAGUGACUAAUAAAUGGUACCAACCUGUUUAAGUGCCCUUGGCUGACUGUUUUUUUGUUUAUUCUAUGCAUUCGCUAAAUUACAUUUUCUUUUGUUGCAAGAAGCCUUUUGUUACCUUAAUAAUGGUAUAUUUUCUUGGUUACAAAUAUCUCCAUGUUCUACAGAUCCAUUUGUGAAUGAAGGGGACUGAGAAAAUGUUGGAGCCCGUAAUGCCUAGGCAUAGAGGAAGAGGCUCAUCCACACAAGACUCACUGACUUAAAGAGGAGCCAAAAACCCUCAUCAGAAGAGUUAGUUCCCUCUAGCCAUGUUUGCAGUGGUGGGACUCCAGCUCAGAGAGGAUUGUACUGCCUAGCUGCUCCUGGAGGUCUGUGGAAAAGGAACAUGGCCACCACUUCCCAGGAGCUUGGCUGAGGCUGCCACCAUACUCAGAUUAAGCCUUCCAAGGCCUUUGGUCAAGCAAUGGGAGUCUCAGAAGGCAUGAAAAGUAUUGACCAGUUUUCUAACCUAACAACUUCUCCAGUCCUAGAAGAAAAUGCUCCAGUCCUAGUUCUGGACUCCAGGGAAACUAGGAAAUGAAGUUGUGGCUUGGAGUCAGUCAUUAUUUAUGGCAUUUGGCACAUAAAACCCUGAUGAACCAGAAACAAAAUGAAAGAAAGGAGAACUGUAAACAAGGUCUUUCAGUGCUAAUUUUAACUCCAGGAUGACAAAUAGAGGUAUAGCAAUACAACAACUACAGCAACUUCAAUCAUUUUCCUAUAUUUAGUACCUCAAAAUUCAAGUUGACAGGUAUGCCUCACCUAAAUUCUGAUGCGUGUCAUCUCCUGAUUUAUGAGUGCUUGGUUUUGCAGAACAAAUAAAAUUCUCCCCGUUACUUAAUGGUGCUGAAGAUAUUUCUUCUCUUACCUUUCGUUAUCUUCUUUUUCUGUUGCUACUCAUAUCUGUCACCAGUCAUGUCUUUAAAUCCUUCCAUAGAUAACCUGUUCUAUGACUUUCUGAAGCUUCUAUUUUAUGUCACAGUGUUUUUUCCCUUUGCUUUCUAUAUCAUUGGUGUACAAUCUCCAGAGUAUCAAGCAACUUACAGAGUGGCUUGAAAAGCUGAAUCACAUUGAACUCAAUGUCUGAGAGUCAGUAUUCUUUGCAACUGCUAAUAGCUUUGAGCAAGCCAGUUUAUUUUUCAGUGUUUCACUUUCUUCCCCUGAUUUCUAGUAAUGCAGAUAGAGUUCUCUUUUCUGAGCAAAAUGUAAUCUGGUAGAUAGCAAAUUGGGUUGGUAGCAGGAAAAGGGGAGAGCUUUCAUCAUAAGAAUAAAAUGGACCUAAAGGUUUUAUAAAUUAAAGGCCAAUUAUUCCCAGGAGUGCAUGGGGAGCCUUCCACAGCAAUCACUCUUGAGAAUCUGAAGGCAGAACAGGGCCUCGACCAUCUGUAUUUGGACUUUGUCAGGCCAUUUGUUUGUAACCGGAAUUGUAUUGUUGCUCUGGUUUUCAGUAAAGGGAUGUUCACUGAGGCAUCACAUUGAUAUUUUUGAAGUACGUUCCAUGUUUUCAAAGAAACAAAUUUAUCAGCAAUGAAUUGAAAUGUCUAGCUGUUUCCGUAUGCUGUAGAGAUUUCACAUCAUGCUGCUGUGCAUGUGCAUUCAUUUUUCACCUGCUGGAUGUAAUGGGAACAAGUUCAAUACAUGAAUGAAAGCAUGUUAACAAGGAAGUGAUUUGGCCAAACCAUGCUUCUUCCUCCUAACAGAUAAAAAAAGCCCUGAAAAAACAAAGGCUGAAGGCACAAGCUUGUUUUCAUUAAUCAUAAAUCAGAGACGAUCCCCAAAUAGUAUAGUAGGAGGCAAUGUUGACAGUAGACCUGUGGGAUUUUAACAAACUCGGCUCCUGUUCUUUGUUUUACCUAUAUCUAGGUUAACUACUGUCUGAAAGAGCUUUGUGGGAAAAUCUCAUCUUAUUAUCUUAAAUAAAAAGAGCUGACUAUUUGUGGAAAAACUCAUCAGGCUUUCAUUUUCAAGUUCUGUACAAGGCUGACCCUUUGUCUGAAGUAUUAAAAAUCCCACAGUGGAUGUAUAAAUUAUGGCCUAUAGUAAGGACUUUGGGACAUUCCACUGAGUAUGUUCACAAAAUUUGAGUAAGGCUGUUGUUCCAGAUGAUGCAUGUGGCUCACAAUCCUGAGAGCUGAAAAGCUCCCUGCAAGACCAAGAGGCCAACCAGACUGAUUCUUUGGACUUUGAACCUCCAAUGUUACCUGCUAAUAUGGCACAUAGAGCCAUGAUUGAAAGUGUCUGGGUACUAUGAGCAACACCUAUACUUCUGGGACCAACAGACCUCAGUCUGCAUCAUGGUUGACAGGAUUGCAAUAUCUGGUAUAUUUUCUGCAGUAUUUCUCAGCAAAAAGAGCAAGGCUAGAGAUGAAAAUUCGAAAAACCUCUUAAUGGAGUAUUUUAAAGUCUAGGAUCACAGCUUUUGAGGUCCCUAGUACCAAUGAAACAACCAACUAGUUACUGGGGGUCAGAAGGAGAAAAGAGGAAGAGAGGGAAAGGAAACUACAUUGAAGGAAGGUGAUUCUGUUUGGAAAAAAUGUCUCAUACAGUUUGGCAACUCUUACCAUGCUGUUGCCAACUUGCAAGUUCAUAUGAGGUUUACAGCAAGUUACAGGAAGAAUAAAAUGUUAAUCAUGUGCAGAACCUUAGUUGUAUUCUCGCCAUCUAUUUCAACAACAGUAAUAACAUACAGACUAAGAAGUGAUUACAGAAUGACAUAAGCUUCUUUUCCAUUUGAAUUUGAAAAUGUAUUUCCAUUUAAAGCUUAAUUUUUAUGUGCUUCAUCCAAAAUUAAGAAAACAAGAGGAUGUGAUUUCCAAGCACUAUAUAUAGGCUGGAUCUGGUGUCAAGUUUUUCUAACAGUUAUUAGCUGUGUUAAAAGCAGUGACUUUUAACACAGUAUCUAAAAAAAAAACUUACCAGCAUUUUAUGGUGGCUUAAAAAAAAUACAAAGGACAACAAGUUGAAACAUGGGGAAGAUCAGUGACAAAGGUACUUAGUCAACAAAAGACUUAACUGCAUGUUGCAGAUUGUAUCUUCUUACAAAAGCCUUUCAUUAAUGAACUAUGUGUUAGAAAGUCUGUUCAGCUGAUUAAACUUUUCUAUAUCUGAAAUUGUUUAUGAGUUAUAAUUACCUCCUUCAAAACCUUCUUUCUUCUUGUAACUGGCUACAGACUUGAUGAAAAGUAUUCGGUCUUUUCCUGUCACACAAUACAAAUGGUGUGCUAAUUUUUGCCCAUGGAAAAACUAUGCUUUCAAAUACAACAAACAUCUUUAUUAUCACCUUAGUAUGCACUGGAGUCAUCCUGAUGUAUUGUAAACACAUUGGGCCCAGGAGUUCAUACAUAUGUAGAAAGUUUAUUUAUGGAAAUUCUUCAGAAGCUUGCUUGGGAUGAGUGGUCCUACUUAUUAGAAAUGACUUCUCCAACUCCUGUCUACAAAUUAAUGAUGCGCUUUGGAGAAAACAAAUUUAUUUCAGAGAAAGUCUGUGGUUGCUUUUCUUUACUUCUUGCCAUUUUUUCUUUGUUUGAUGUAUCAGAUUUCUGGUGCAGUGCUUUCUUUCCUUGUUUAUCAGAGUUAUUAAUUUACGGUCUACUGGUGCACAACAGUUCUUUAAGCUUAUAGUAUCUACUUUGUUGUCAAUAAGAAAGAUGAGAAGCAAAAGUGUGAAGGAUUCUCCUAGGGUAAAACAAGAAUGAUAACCAUUUCAAGUGAGAAACUUAAAUGAGUGAAGAAAAGUUGACUGCAGAAAAUUAGGACGAGACUCUCACUCUGUAUGG
rnacentral:lncRNA from 1 species